rnacentral:siRNA from 1 species
GAAAGUCCUCGUGUUGCAUCCCU